rnacentral:rRNA from 1 species
AUUGAACGCUGGCGGCAGGCCUAACACAUGCAAGUCGAGCGGAGCGGCGGACGGGUGAGUAAUGCCUAGUAAUCUGCCUGGUAGUGGGGGAUAACGUCCGGAAACGGGCGCUAAUCCCUCAUACUAUAAGAUUAGCCUAGGUCGGAUUGGCUAGUUGGUGGGGUAAAGGCCUACCAAGGCGACGAUCCGUAACUGGUCUGAGAGGAUGAGCAGUAACACUGGAAGUGAGAGACGGUCGAGACUCCUACGGUAGGCAGCAGUGGGGAAUAGUGGACAAGGGGCGAAAGCCUGAUCCAGCCAUGCCGCGUGUGUGAAGAAGGUCUUCGGAUUGUAAAGCACUUUAAGUUGGGAGGCGUUACCAACAGAAUAAGCACCGGCUAACUUCGUGCCAGCAGCCGCGGUAAUUC